GUCAGGUGGAUAUCCACCGACGUUUCAGAGGAACUUACUGCAUCCAACAUCAAAGUAAUGGAUGAAUGAUUCAAUAUACACCAGACUUCAUAGUGCAAUAUUCCAGGAGACAGCAACCUUCAUACUCGUUACCCCUUGAAGAGUGUUUUACUUCUUCUAAACCCAGUAACGAAGAAGGAAGGAUAGGAGUCGAAAGAUACGCUCCAACGUCAACCAAACAAAUUUUUACGAGUAAGAAAAUAAUUCACAUAACGCACUUAAAAAAAUCCAAAAACAACACAUACGAAGAUGUCAUGUAAUCUCGUAUAAAUUAACCGACGUUUUAGAGGUACUUCCUGCCUCCAUCAACUUAAUGACAGUGGCAGAAUCCACCUCUGAAACGUCGGUGAACUUCAACCAGACUACACGGCGCUACAACCCCCUAAGACAGCCAUCUUCGUCCUCACCGCCCUGGGAACUUGAAAUAUGUGUGCGACGUUUAGGUACAACUCCAUGCAUUCUUAACCUCGAAACCAAGUGUUUUGAGGGUACACAGGCCGUUUUCACAUAACAAAACCCCGUAAAGCAAGAACGCUCGUAGAAUUUUUUAGUGCGCGCAAUUUUAGUCGGUCUGCGCGGCAGCUUCUACCGUGGCCGCGGAUAGGCUACUGAUGCUCCUAUAAUGAAGAAUUAAAACCGCGGAUAUUCCAAAGCGCGUAUAACGACAAUCACCUGUAUAUUCUUAGGAUUGCAGGCUGGGUGAACCUCAAAGCCGGUCUGAAGGAAUGUAAUGUCUUUGACGUAUCCCUUAAUUGCAUAAUUUUCAAGCUCAAAUCUAAUGAAAAUUGGUUUACGAGUUACAAACAUAGUGUGUCUUUCUCUCUCUUUCACCUACUUUCUGCUAUGGAAUAAGGAAAGUAGGAUAACAUAUGAAAUGAGAGGUAGUAACGAGCAGAAAAAGUCUGUCGCAAUUGACAUCGUUCAUUAGCCACGUCCAUUACGAAGACACGAACGGACGACAACGGAGAACCGGAAGGGACGAUCCACAGCCACGAGGCUGACCGACCUUACGCCUCCUGGGCAACGAGGAUACAGCUCGACACCUCAAAUCCUUGUGACGUCAUUCGGGCGCAGUUAUUUUCUGAGCUACUAAACAGAAAAAUCAGAUCUAAAGGAAUUUAAUGUGUCUGAGGACUCUUUAGCGUGAAGGUAUACUGAACAUCUGUAGCUGAUAGACUUUCGUCAAAUAACCAAUCAGUAAUUAAGGAACACAUUCGACUUCUGGGUUGUUGAAAUGUAGUCAUCAAACCUGAUGACUACAUUUCAACACAUUCGACUUCAACCUGAUGAUAGAGGCAGCAAGCACCUCUUCUACCAGACUACACGGCGCAAAACCCAGAAUACAGCAAUUUUAAAACAAUUCAUAAUCACCAUACUAUCUUUAUGUUAGGCACAGUCACUGCCGUGGUAUAAACACUCGGAUUUUUUGAUCUGGUCAUCGUAUUACAGUCCAUUUUAAAAUGUAAUUAACAGCAGCUAAUUCUACGUACACAUAACGGGUUAUAUUUUGUAAGGAGUCAGGUAGUGUAUAGUUUCAAUCAGUUGAAUUCAUUUACCCGAAUUUUCAAUUGCCCAUGCAUUUAGUGAGACGUUUUGAAUGACAUAUAGGCAUCGUCAUUCUUUUUAACAAAACAAUCACGAACGCAAUUCGUGAGUUAAGGAAAACAGCUUGUUACAUUGUAAUAGGUAAAAAAGAAUAAUGAUAAUAUUAUGAAGGAAAUAAGAUCAUAAACACAUUUUUGAAGGGUAUCUUAAGUAGAUUCUUACUCGACUCUCAUACCAAAAUUCUUGCGUUUUUUUUAAUAAUAGAAUCGCACGUCAUUUGAACACAUAAAACAUUUCUAUUAUUACAGCCUGAAGCUUGUGUUUGAAGGUACGUUCGAGUUACUUGAUGUACGUAACGAGAUAUUAAUAAAUAAUAAGUUGUUUUAUCCCUAAUUUGUUUGUGAAAAUCUGUCUCGUGUCCUGUGGAAAAUUUCACAAGCGAGGAAAUUCAUAAUCUGUACAAUUUAUCCAAUAUUAUGUAACAAGAAAUGCAACACGAAUUGACUGAGAUGUGAUCAGGAUGUUUCCAUCGGAAAAUCUCAAGGAAAUACUGCCUGUCAGUCCUAGGCACAGAUGGGAGGAUAAUAUUAAAGGGGUUAUUGUUCCGUGUUACCUGGCCCAAGCUUACCGACAUUUCUAAGGUUCUUGUUGCCUCCAUCAUCAGGAACAAUAGUGCAGGCAGUAAUUAUCUCCCAAAGGUCGGCAAACUUCUACCAGACUACACGCCACUACAACUCAAGACGACUUAUGGAAACU